rnacentral:rRNA from 1 species
UACGUAGGGGGCUAGCGUUGUCCGGAUUUAUUGGGCGUAAAGAGCGUGUAGGCGGCCAUGUAGGUCCGGUGUGAAAACUCGAGGCUUAACCUCGAGAUGUCAUCGGAAACCAUUUGGCUAGAGUCCGGAAGAGGAGAGCGGAAUUCCAGGUGUAGCGGUGAAAUGCGUAGAUAUCUGGAGGAACACCGGUGGCGAAGGCGGCAUCCUGGACCAUGACUGACGCUGAGGAGCGAAAGCGUGGGGAGCAAACAGG